CCUAAGUGGGUGGUAAACUCAUUCUAAAACUAAAUAUAACCAUGAGACCGAUAGUAAACAAGUACCGUGCACUUUUUCCAUAUAAAGGACAUUGUAAUAUGUUAAUAUAUUAUAUAUAUUUAUCAAAAGAUCUAUUAUAUAUGUUUAUUUUAAUUAUUUAUUUUCGAAUAUUUAACAUAAAAUAAAAUUAAUAGAUUUGAUAAAUUAUUAACAUAUAUAAAUUUUUAUAUAAUGCUUAAAUUUUAUAUAUUUAUAUAAAAUUUUACAAUAAUUAAAUAAAUCUAUUGAUUUAUUUUAUAUUUAUUGUAUGCAUUUAUAUGAUUAACAAUGAUUAAAUAGAUUCAGGAUACCUUCGGGACCCGUCUUGAAACACGGACCAAGGAGUCUAACAUAUGUGCAAGUUAUUGGGUUAUAUUUUUUUAAAAAAUUAAACCCAAUAGCGUAAUUAACUUAACUGUUUUUAUAUAUGGGAUUAAUUUAUAUUUUAUUUUAUAAAAUUUAAAUACAAUCCUGGGGCGUUCUAUAUAGUUAUGUAUAAUAAUAUUUAUAUUAUUUAUACCUCUAACUAGAGCGUACCUUGAGCAA
rnacentral:rRNA from 1 species